rnacentral:rRNA from 1 species
CCUACGGGUGGCUGCAGUGAGGAAUAUUGGUCAAUGGACGCAAGUCUGAACCAGCCAUGCCGCGUGCAGGAUGAAGCAUCUAUGGUGUGUAAACUGCUUUUGUACGGGAAGAAACACUCCUACGUGUAGGAGCUUGACGGUACCGUAAGAAUAAGGAUCGGCUAACUCCGUGCCAGCAGCCGCGGUAAUACGGAGGAUCCAAGCGUUAUCCGGAAUCAUUGGGUUUAAAGGGUCCGUAGGCGGCUUUAUAAGUCAGUGGUGAAAGCCCAUCGCUU